CUCGCCCACGUCUGACCGGGCGAAUUCCAGUUGGCGCUGCGCGUCGGCUCCGUACUGGUCUGGCGGGACGCGUUGCGCACUUGGACGGCGCUGCGUGUGCCGCCAGUCCGACAGGUAAAAAAAGGUCUUGAAGAAUGAGAGGGAGGGCACACAAAAGUCUGCCUCAUGCUGUGACGCGCUUUUAUGCGGCAGAGGAUUCAAGAGAGAGAGAGAGAGAGAGAGAGAGCACGCGCGCGCCGCGGCUGCGAAAAUCGGCCUCGGCAUUUGGCGACUGCCACCGGCGUGCGGCCUCUAUGUGGGGCCGCCGGCCAAGCGCACGACCUUGCCUCUGACGACCUGGUAGCGAGUGCGCAAGGAUUCCGCGAGAGAGCACGGUUCGGCCGAUUCCAAGAGCGCGACGCUGCACCCCUCUGCGCGAUGCGCGUAGAGAAAUUCGACGACGUGCCGAUGGCCGUUGCGCGCGGCCCCGUCCAUGGCCGCAGUCGUGCAGCCGGCGCUGUCGUGUUCGUGGAGCCACACCACCGCGCUCAGGUGGCCGUUGGUGGCCGCCUGGUCCAUGGCCGCGGUUGUGCACCGUUGGCCCUCUUGUCGGUGGAGCCACUGGAGUAUGCAAAGGUUGCCGUGCGCGGCUGCAAUGUCGAUGACCACCGUGGCGCGACAUUCGGGAUAGGCGCGAUAGAGGGAGCAUACCGGGUCGAUGUAGCAGCCAGCGGCGGCUUCGCGCAUCGCUCUGGCCAGCGACACCGAGAACCCCCUCUCGCGCAAAAACUCGAUCGUCUCGAUUUGACCCCGUCGGGCGGCCGCCUCGGCCGUCGCCAUCGUGAUGGGCAUGUCGUCGCGUGGAUGAUCCCACAGGCAGCGCAGCAUGGCCAAGUGGCCUUCUGAUGCCGCCCAGGCGGCCGUAUCGGUGCCCACCAUGUGUCGCGCGUAACCGCUCGCCCGACAAAUGAACAAGAGCGCGUCGAUGUCGCCGCGGCCCGCGGCCUCGCACGCGCGACGCCGCGCACAACGGCAAUGCCGACACGCAAGGAGGUACGCGGCAAUGUCAGGGCGUGCGUCGUCUGUCGCUCUGUCGAUAGCAAGGCUGAUGGCGUGGCCCAACGAGUUGAUCUCCUUUUCAGGGGCCUUGAAUCCGUUUUCGCAACAGGCUGCAGAAAUGGCGUCGUCGGCCAGACCGAUCACGAACCUGAUGGCGUCGAGGUGCCCAUGCACGACGGCGACAUCGAGGAGACUCACCGCCUCGGACACGCCCACGUUGCGCGUCAAGAGGCGCGACGCGAUCUCGGUGUGUCCUCCUUCGAUGGCAGCGCGAAAGCAACCGUGGCCGAACCGCACACCUCGGGCGAGGAGAAAGUCGAUCGCGUCGGUCUUGCCGUGCCGACACAGGACGCGCUCGGGAGUGCAAAGCCACGUCGGCAUCUUGCGCGCGUGCAAGAUCAAUUCGUCGCUAUGGACGGCAAAAGCGGCAUGUGCGCGUCGGGCCGCACAAAAGGAUCGAUCGUCGAGAAAGUCCAUCACGAUCCAAAGGACCUCGGACGGCAGCGAGAGGAUGCCCAGAGGCCCAUUGGAUGGGCGGCGCUCUGGGUCCGCCCCGCUGUGGUCGGCCGCGCCAGCGGCGCCCGAAUGGGCGUUUUCGUCGCGCCGGCUCAUUGCUCGCGGACGCGUCUGGCACGAAAAAGAAAGAGUUUGCGUUGCCUCCAAGAAGGGCGCGCCCGAUCGAUUGUUGUCCGCCGCCCCUGUCUGUCCUACAAAUUGUUUUGGGCCGUUAUCGCCGCGUCACGAGACUCUAUUUCUUUCCCGGCGGCUGUGCCGAGUCGGUCAUUUGUCCCUUUUUUCCUCACUCUCCGCUCGCCGGCGGCAGCGGCAACGGUAAAAAAAAAGACAAGAGAUGAUUGGUUU
rnacentral:lncRNA from 1 species